UUCACGGAUAUGAGCAACCAUGAUGGCGGCGACGAUGUAUAUUCUCACGGCGAAAUCGUAUGGUGGGGAUAAGCAGUUUUUAAAAAAGUUAACCUCCAAUAAAUUAUGACACGCAAAUAUUGAGUUCUUCUACUUUUGCAACCUUUUGUAUAGCAAUCCGACAUAUAAUAAAAACAGAAUAAAGUUUCUAGACACGAAUCUGACCAACCAUGAUGGCUACCGCGGCUUUUCUCCUUGCCCCUGAGGCUUCACCCCCUUCGUCUAAAAAGGAAUUCCUUCGACUUGAGAUAUUAGAAAUAUGAAGUUUGUGCUCAAAUACUUUUGUACGAUCAACUCCAUAAUUCGUGAGCAAUAUCACGUACAAGUGAAUUUGACAUUGAGAAAUCAUAGAAAUUACCUAUUAUCUGGCCUCUUACGUACUGGAACGUUGUAAACUCUGUCCUUGAACCAAAGCACAAGAGCCAAAGGAUUAUUUGGGUGUGAGGUCGAUGGCCUCAGCAGGAAAUAUCCAUUUUCAGCAUUCCCGUAAGCGCCUGCGGAGUAAACAAUUUUGAUUGUAUCCUCAAUGAAAUUUUGACAGUUUUCAAUAUUUUUAGUCAAAUUGAUCCCUUGAAAUGUACAUCAAGUUUUCCUCUCAGAACACAUCAAUAUUUUUUUUCUCCUGGAAAACCUCUUUUGAGAAAUAUACUCACGAUCUUUGAUCAA